rnacentral:rRNA from 1 species
CACGUAGGGCGCAAGCGUUGUCCGGAAUUAUUGGGCGUAAAGAGCUCGUAGGCGGUCUGUUGCGUCCGCUGUGAAAACUCGGGGCUUAACCCCGAGCCUGCAGUGGAUACGGGCAGACUAGAGGUAGGUAGGGGAGAAUGGAAUUCCCGGUGUAGCGGUGAAAUGCGCAGAUAUCGGGAGGAACACCUAUGGCGAAGGCAGCUCGCUGGGACGUUACUGACGCUGAGACGCGAAAGCGUGGGGAGCAAACAGG